rnacentral:rRNA from 1 species
UAAGAAUAUAUUAAUCAAAUGAAAGUUAUAAGAUUUAAAGUAAAUUAAUAAAAUAAGAAAAUAAAAUAAACUGUGAAGGAGAAAAAGUUAUGAGAUAAUAAUUUACCUUUUGUAUAAGGGUUAAAUUAAAUUUAGUUAAUUAAAAUAUUCCCGAAGUGAAGAGGAAUAUUUGUUUUAUAUAAAUUUAUUGAAUUAAGUUUAAAAAAUGGCAAAUAGAAAUGAAACAUUAACGGUCUUUAAGAUAUCUGGUUAUUAAAAUUAAAUAAAUUAAUAGUUGAGAUUGUUGAGUAAACUUUAAGUAAGAUAUUUUAAUUAUAAAUCUUAAAGGGUAAGCUUUUAAGGAAGUAUUGUGGCUAAAAACUAAAUUUAAAAUAUAAGGCUUAAGAAUAGCUUAAUAAAAAGGUUACACUUUUAUUAAAUUGAUUAAUAUUUAAUUGAAGUUAUGUAAUGAAAAAAUUAAUUUAUUAUAGUUUAAAAAGUAAAAUUAUACUGUUUAAAUUAGUAAGAAAAGAAAUAUAGAAGAAGUAAAUAGGAAGGGUAAAGAUAAUGAAUUCGGCAAAAAUUUUUUAGACUGUUUAACAAAAACAUUUCUUUUAGGUUCUGUUUAAAAGUAAAAUCUGCCCACUGUAAAAUAUAAAGGGCCGCGGUAUUGUGACCGUGCAAAGGUAGCAUAAUCAUUAGUUUUUUAAUUGAAAAAUGGAAUGAAUGAUUAAACUAAAAAAUACUUUAUUAAAGUUUAAAAAUUGAAAUUAGAGUUUAAGUGAAAAUACUUAAGUGAUUUUAGUAGACGAUAAGACCCUUUAGAUCUUUAUUUGAAUAAUUAUACUAGAGAAUAGCGGUGUGAGUAGAGAUAAAGCAAAUUUUGUUGGGGUAACAUAAGAAUAUAAAAAAUUUCUUAAAUAUAAUAAAAGAUUGUUAAUGAUUUAGCUAAUUUUUAAAAUUUAAAAAGUUACCUAAGGGAUAACAGCGUAAUUAAUUUAGAGAGUUCAUAUAGAAAAAUUAGAUUGCGACCUCGAUGUUGAAUUAAGGUGCCUUAUAGGGGCAGUAUUUUAAAGAAGGUGGUUUGUUCAACCAUUAAAUUCUUACAUGAUUUGAGUUCAAACCGGCGUGAGCCAGGUUGGUUUCUAUCUUUAAAUAAAGAAAAAUUGCUUAGUACGAAAGGAUUAGCAAUUAAUAAAAGUUGUAACAA